UCUGAUUAGCUAGUUGGUGAGGUAAAAGCUCACCAAGGCGACGAUCAGUAGCUGGAUCGAGAGGUUGACCAGCCACACUGGGACUGAGAUACGGCCCAGACUCCUACGGGAGGCAGCAGUGAGGAAUCUUCCACAAUGGACGAAAGUCUGAUGGAGCAAUGCCGCGUGCAGGAUGACGGCCUUCGGGUUGUAAACUGCUUUUAUAUAGGAAGAUUAUGACGGUACCAUAUGAAUAAGGACCGGCUAACUACGUG
rnacentral:rRNA from 1 species